CCUUCAUGAAGCCGGAAUUGCUAGUAAUGGCAGGUCAGCAUACUGCCGUGAAUACGUUCCCGGGCCUUGUACACACCGCCCGUCACACCAUGAGAGUUGGAAAUACCCGAAGCCUGUGAGCUAACCUUAUAGGAGGCAGCAGUCGAAGGUAGAGUCAAUGAUUGGGGUGAAGUCGUAACAAGGUACC
rnacentral:rRNA from 1 species